UUGGGAAUCUUGCACAAUGGGGGAAACCCUGAUGCAGCGACGCCGCGUGGAGGACGAAGGAUCUAGGUCUGUAAACUCCUUUUUCACGGAAAGACUUAGGACGGUACCGUGAGAAUAAGCCCCGGCUAACUACGUGCCAGCAGCCGCGGUAAGACGUAGGGGGCGAGCGUUGUCCGGAUUUACUGGGCGUAAAGGGCGCGUAGGCGGUCUGUUAAGUGAGAACUGAAAUCUCCAGAGCUCAACUCGGAAACUGGUUUUCAUACUGGCAGACUGGAGGAAGGAAGAGGUAACUGGAAUUCCUGGUGGAGCGGUGAAAUGUGUUGAUAUCAGGAGGAACCCCAAUGGCGAAGGCAGGUUACUGGUCCUUAUCUGACGCUGAGGCGCGAAAGCGUGGGUAGCA
rnacentral:rRNA from 1 species